rnacentral:rRNA from 1 species
CCUACGGGAGGCAGCAGUAGGGAAUAUUGCGCAAUGGGGGAAACCCUGACGCAGCAACGCCGCGUGAGUGAGGAAGGUCUUAGGAUUGUAAAACUCUUUUGCUAGGGAAAAAUGACCCAGUGGCUAAUAUCCAUUGGGAGUGAUGGUACCUAAAGAAUAAGGACCGGCUAACUUCGUGCCAGCAGCCGCGGUAAU